rnacentral:lncRNA from 1 species
AUGUCCUUCAAUUCUCUGACACUCUCCCUCCCUCUUUCAUCUUUACUCUCUCCCUCUCUUUUAUUACACCAAGAGUCCCUUGUUUGCUUUCCAGUCUCGUUAGGAGAAAUUGGAAUGUACAAAAAUCACAUAAAAGAUACCAACAACAACUGCAAUAAAAGCCUUCUCCCUGACCAUAAGGAGAAGCUGAUCCAGGCUAUUAAAAGAAUAAAGCAUGAGGUAGACGAGUGCUGGGAGGCAGAGAGAGAGACGUACAUAUGGUCUGUUGGUGUAGAGAGAUGCUUUGAUAAUCUGGAACGGGAGGUCCGAGCUGAGUUCCAGAACCUCCAUCGCUUCCUGGACGAAGAGGAGACCAUGGACAUGGAGCGACUGAAGAAGGAGAAAGAGAAGAGGGUGAAGCUGCUUAGGGAGAGGGAGAAGAAGAUCGCCAUGCAGGGAAGAGAUCUGGAGAGAGGCAUUGCCACGCUAAACAACAAACUGGCCGAGGAGGAUAGUCCCAAACUGCUCAAAGAGAUUCAAGACCUCUUGAAAAGGCAAGUGUUUAUAUUUCAUUAUUU